ACGUAGGUGGGUUUGUAAGUCAGAUGUGAAAGCCUCCUGUUCAACGGGAGAAUUGCAUCUGAAACUACUGAUCUUGAGUGUAGGAGGGGAGAAUGGAACUUCUGGUGGAGCGGUGAAAUGCGUAGAUAUCAGAAGGAACGCCGGCGGCGAAAGCGAUUCUCUGGCCUAUUACUGACACUCAGUGUGCGAAAGCUAGGGGAGCAAACGGGAUUAGAUACCCCGGUAGUCCUAGCCGUAAACGAUGGGCACUAAGUAGAGGGGUUUUAA
rnacentral:rRNA from 1 species